UACGUAGGGGGCUAGCGUUGCUCGGAAUGACUGGGCGUAAAGGGCGCGUAGGCGGUUUGGACAGUCAGAUGUGAAAUUCCUGGGCUCAACCUGGGGGGCUGCAUUUGAUACGUUCGGACUAGAGUGGGGAAGAGGGUCGUGGAAUUCCCAGUGUAGAGGUGAAAUUCGUAGAUAUUGGGAAGAACACCGGUGGCGAAGGCGGCGACCUGGUCCUUGACUGACGCUGAGGCGCGAAAGCGUGGGGAGCAAACAGG
rnacentral:rRNA from 1 species